UAAAGAAUUUCGGUCACCGAUGGGGAUGCGUUCCAUUAGCUUGUUGGCGGGGUAACGGCCCACCAAGGCAUCGAUGGAUAGGGGUUCUGAGAGGAAGGUCCCCCACAUUGGAACUGAGACACGGUCCAAACUCCUACGGGAGGCAGCAGUGAGGAAUAUUGGUCAAUGGGCGCUAGCCUGAACCAGCCAAGUAGCGUGAAGGAUGACUGCCCUAUGGGUUGUAAACUUCUUUUAUAUGGGAAUAAAGUGCAGUAUGUAUACUGCUUUGCAUGUACCUUAUGAAUAAGGAUCGGCUAACUCCGUGCCAGCAGCCGCGGUAAUACGGAGGAUCCGAGCGUUAUCCGGAUUUAUUGGGUUUAAAGGGAGCGUAGGCGGGUUGUUAAGUCAGUUGUGAAAGUUUGCGGCUCAACCGUAAAAUUGCAGUUGAUACUGGCAUCCUUGAGUACAGUAGAGGUAGGCGGAAUUCGUGGUGUAGCGGUGAAAUGCUUAGAUAUCACGAAGAACUCCGAUUGCGAAGGCAGCCUGCUGGACUGUAACUGACGCUGAUGCUCGAAAGUGUGGGUAUCAAACAGGAUUAGAUACCCUGGUAGUCCACACAGUAAACGAUGAAUACUCGCUGUUUGCGAUAUACAGUAA
rnacentral:rRNA from 1 species